CUACGGGUUGCAGCAGUGGGGAAUAUUGGACAAUGGGGGAAACCCUGAUCCAGCAAUGCCGCGUGUGUGAAGAAGGCCUGCGGGUUGUAAAGCACUUUCGGUUGGGAGGACUGCUUCUAGCACUAAUAUUGUUGGAAGUUGACGUUACCUUCAGAAGAAGCACCGGGUAACUCCGUGCCAGCAGCCGCGGUGAAUACGGAGGGUGCAAGCGUUAAUCGGAAUUACUGGGCGUAAAGCGCGCGUAGGCGGCUAGAUCAGUCGGGUGUGAAAGCCCCGGGCUUAACCUGGGAACUGCAUCCGAUACUGUCUAGCUUGAGUACAGGAGAGGAGAGUGGAAUUCCACAUGUAGCGGUGAAAUGCGUAGAUAUGUGGAGGAACACCAAUGGCGAAGGCAGCUCUCUGGCCUGAUACUGACGCUGAGGUGCGAAAGCGUGGGGAUCAAACAGGAUUAGAUACCCGAGUAGUC
rnacentral:rRNA from 1 species